rnacentral:misc_RNA from 1 species
GAUGAAGAACGUAGUGAAAUGCGAUAAGUAAUGUGAAUUGCAGAAUUCAGUGAAUCAUCGAAUCUUUGAACGCACAUUGCGCCCGGUAGUAUUCUGCCGGGCAUGCCUGUUCGAGCGUCAUUUCAACCAUCAGGCCCCAGCGCUUGUGUUGGGGGCCUGCGGCUGCCGCAGCCCCCUAAAAGCAGUGGCGGGCUCGCUAUCACACCGAGUGCAGUAGUUCAUCUUCUCUCCGGUCUUGUGAGGCGGGUUCCGGCCGUGAAACACCCCACUACAUUCAAGGUUGACCUCGGAUCAGGUAGGAAUACCCGCUGAACUUAAGCAUAUCAAUAAGCGGAGGA